GCUCUGAUUCAGUCGGUAGAGCAUGAGGCUCUUAAUCUCACGGUCGUGGGUUUGAGCCCCACAUUAGGCA